CCCGCCGUCGAGCUGCAUUUCCGCCGGCGCGGUCCGGGUGUAGCAGUUUCCUGCGGCAGUGGCUGCUUCCCAAAUAGUCCUGAACGAUUCCGGGGCGUGCCGCACCGUCUCGCGCCGUCCCCUCUGACCCUGCCGGUGACAGGCCCGGCUCCCCGGGCGUUGCGGGCUCUGGGGCUCUGUUGGAAGCAGAUGGAAAGUCUCCGUUGGACGGCUUUGGGAGCUGUGCGUCAGGCAGCGCCCCCUUCUUUGCUGCAGGACCCUGAGCCGCAGCGCCGGAUGUGCCCCCGCGGUGUCCAGGGGGUGAGGCCUGGAUGAGCCCACUGUGUGGAGAGACAUCAUGGGAGUUCUAUCAGGAACAUUCUAGACCCCAGUGUCCUUGAGGGAUGCUGCCUCGGAUCUAGAGAUUGUUGGAAGAAUCCUUAAGGAGAUGGAGCAUUGGUCCUCUCAGGAUGACCUGGGUCCCAGCUGCCCUGGAGGGACCUCUUCAUGAUUAUUUCGGAGUUGAUCAUGGACAGUGGCAGAGUGAAGAAUGAUGUCGCCACGUGAACCAUGGCCAGACCUUCUUAUCCUGUUGCCUCAGCACAGCCUGGAGGGACUUUUCUCUCUGCGUGAGCAGGCCAGAGGGAAAGUCCUGGGACCCUGGAGACUUGAGGUCCAGAGCUAGAGACUUCAGCUGGCUCUGCCGCUCCCCCAGCAGGUGUCACACAGCACCUGGGACCAGGAAGACUGGUUCCCUUCCACCUGAGCCAGGUGUCCAGCAGGCUCCACGUGCCCCUGCCUAUUCCUCCUGUAACUUUUUACAGCCAAGAGUUUUCUGCACUGUGCAUCCUUGUCCUCUCACCCACCCAAUAAAUCUUGAAACUG